GACGAACGCUGGCGGCGUGCCUAAUACAUGCAAGUGGGACGCAAGGGAACACACUGUGCUUGCACACCGUGUUUUUUUGAGUCGCGAACGGGUGAGUAACGCGUAGGUAACCUGCCUAUUAGCGGGGGAUAACUAUUGGAAACGAUAGCUAAUACCGCAUAAUAUUAAUUAUUGCAUGAUAAUUGAUUGAAAGAUGCAAGCGCAUCACUAGUAGAUGGACCUGCGUUGUAUUAGCUAGUUGGUAAGGUAAGAGCUUACCAAGGCGACGAUACAUAGCCGACCUGAGAGGGUGAUCGGCCACACUGGGACUGAGACACGGCCCAGACUCCUACGGGAGGCAGCAGUAGGGAAUCUUCGGCAAUGGACGAAAGUCUGACCGAGCAACGCCGCGUGAGUGAAGAAGGUUUUCGGAUCGUAAAGCUCUGUUGUAAGUCAAGAACGGUGUGUGAGACGUGGAAAUGUUCACCACAGUGA
rnacentral:rRNA from 1 species